rnacentral:rRNA from 1 species
UGAGGAGGUAAAAGGCCUAGCAGGGCGGUUACUUAAGUCUGAAUGUGAAAAGCCCCCCGGCUCAACCGGGGAGGGUUCAUUGGAAAACUGGGAAACUUGAGUGCAGAAGAGGAGAGUGGAAUUUCCACGUGUAGCGGUGAAAUGCGUAGAGAUGUGGAGGAACACCCAGUGGCGAAGGCGACUCUCUGGUCCUGUAACUGACGCUGAGGAGCGAAAGCGUGGGGAGCGAACAGGAUUAGAUACCCUGGUAGUCCCACGCCGUAAACGAUGAGUGCUAAGUGUUAGGGGGUUUCCGCCCCUUAGUGCUGCAGCUAACGCAUUAAGCACUCCGCCUGGGGAGUACGGUCGCAAGACUGAAACUCAAAGGAAUUGACGGGGGCCCGCACAAGCGGUGGAGCAUGUGGUUUAAUUCGAAGCAACGCGAAGAACCUUACCAGGUCUUGACAUCCUCUGACAACCCUAGAGAUAGGGCUUUCCCUUCGGGGACAGAGUGACAGGUGGUGCAUGGUUGUCGUCAGCUCGUGUCGUGAGAUGUUGGGUUAAGUCCCGCAACGAGCGCAACCCUUGAUCUUAGUUGCCAGCAUUCAGUUGGGCACUCUAAGGUGACUGCCGGUGACAAACCGGAGGAAGGUGGGGAUGACGUCAAAUCAUCAUGCCCCUUAUGACCUGGGCUACACACGUGCUACAAUGGACAGAACAAAGGGCUGCAAGACCGCAAGGUUUAGCCAAUCCCAUAAAUCUGUUCUCAGUUCGGAUCGCAGUCUGCAACUCGACUGCGUGAAGCUGGAAUCGCUAGUAAUCGCGGAUCAGCAUGCCGCGGUGAAUACGUUCCCGGGCCUUGUACACACCGCCCGUCACACCACGAGAGUUUGCAACACCCGAAGUCGGUGAGGUAACCUUUAUGGAGCCAGCCGCCGAAGGUGGGGCAGAUGAUUGGGGUGAAGUCGACAUGACUCG